AACCCACCCCCACCCCAGUAAAUUGUUGACAAAAAUAACUAGGAUACACGUUUUUCUUGUUUACUAAAUAACGUAAGCUAUUUUCUUGACAUUUUUUUUGUAUGACUACCAUUAAAUGGAGCGUCUCGUGAUUUAAUUUGGUUAAAGUUUGUGGACAACUAUGAUCAAACUUUCGCAGGAGAAAACAUCUUUAUUGGAUGUUUGACACUUCCAUGUCGUGUAAAAGUAAAAAAAAAAAGAAACACAAUCGUGGAGUGAUAACCGUCAAGGGGCCACCUGGUUCGGUAUUUGAAGUACAAUACUGAAUUGAUUGAUUUUGGCAACGGAGUGAAUCGCGCCCCCAAGUGGAUGCAGCAAGUUAGUGCGCGCUGUGCGCAAUUAGAGCGGAGCUCCUCGCUUCCUCUGCCGAAACUCGCCUCAUUGCCUCAUGUUGAUGAUAUCUUAUCAUUUUUACGAUCAAUUUUUUUCUGGGGUGAUAACAAGAGCUUAGGUGUCGCGCCCAUUCAACUAAACACUGCUUCUCCGGCAACUGCCCACAAAGUGAAGCGAGGCCCCUCCUCCCUCCGCGACUGUGGUGGAUAUUCGCUCGAUUGGCACGACGUUUCUUUUUUUCAGGAUUUGUGAGUUGAAACAUUACAUCUUCUUUAAGCGUAAAUCCUCCCUUGCCCAUGCAAGAUGAUGACGCCUGUGCCUGGCGGUGUGGCCAGACACCCUUUCACGUUGUCUAGUGCGCAGACCACGCUGAUGUAAACGGUUUUGAAUGGUCUGACGUGACACUUGGGUGCCUCUCAUCUCCCUUAAACGUGCCUGUAAUUGAGUCUGAAAACGUCCUGUUUGAAGCAUGACAAUGGCAAGGUACUGUUGAUCCAUUAUUAGGUGUCAUCUGGGUCUCAUGAUGUCAAAAUGUGAACAGCAUGAUGAGGACGACUGUUUAAACACCAACUCUAAUUGAAUUUAGACAUGUAUUGGUUGAAUCAAGGAUCAAAUACCUAUUGUGUAUUUUAAGCUCCUCGUUGGAGGACAGCAAUUUGUGCAAAUAGUACUGAAACACUGGACAUGUGCACUCAAAAGCUUGGAGAAGGUUACAUUAAGUUCACCUGUAAAUGUUUGAAUGCAUUUUAGGCUCGUCCUGAAAUUUAGCCAAAAGCCAAAUAUCCCUAACUUUUUGUGAGUCGGGUCUAUUCAAAACAUAUUUGUCUUGAUAAUAUAUCUGAGCAUCUGAGCACCAGUGAAAUGUGUUAGCUUCUGCAUAUAACUUCCCUCGCUGUCUACGUCAUCCUCAUUAGACAUUUGACAUGUCCCAAAUAUUUAGUUUUACCAAAUCAAUGAGAA